GGAAGGAUCAUUUACUACGUUUUAAAGAAACGUUUCCACCCUGGUGUUCUGUUUAAGUGACUGAAAUUGGGUAACAUAAGACUGAGUCGAGGAGGUCUAGUUCCACCGCCUUACCAAACCGGGCAGGAACUAAGCCGUCGAGCGCGAACUUUGUCAGAGACUAAAAAAACCUGCGAGGUUUUGUCAAGAGGGGACCUGAGACGAACAUCGGGUUACUGGACGGAGCAAGUUUGUUAGCGACUGAGAGACAAUCGUCGUCUCUUUGUGUCUAGGAAAGGUCGGGAUAACUUUGGCUGUCACCAGAGUUUCAUUCUAACCUGUCUUACCGGCUGCGCGCUGGGCUUUCCACUCCAACUUUUUGGCCGCGCGCUGAGAGGUAUUCCAUACUUCUCUUGGUUAGAGAAUUGACAACUUUCUUUUGGACUUUGGCAAAUAUUCUGAGUGGUAACUGUUUUAAAAAGAGAGAACCUGCGCGGGACUCCUUCUUUUUUUCAGUUGUUUGCGUGAUGCCUCGAAGCAGUCUUCCAACAAGGUCGUUUUUGGUUUGAUUUAACCCCAAAAAUACGAAUCUGUUCUUAUUGAGCGGUGAUCGAUCCUUGUGUUUAGCAAGAGAAGCGUGGACGAGGAAGUGUGGUGGAAGCUGGUAGAUCAUUGACCUGCGCGGUACCGAGGCGGACACGUACUCGGGAGAUCAAUUGGCGAGGCGCUGCAUUUUUCGGCUGUGUUCCUUGAGCAGAUGCAGGUUGAGCGAACAUCCUACGUUUUUAUAACGCAUUUACAACUCUUAGCAAUGGAUAUCUCGGUUCCCCGAUCGAUGAAGAACGCAGCGAAAUGCGAUACGUAAUGCGAAUUGCAGAACUCAGUGAAUCAUCGAAUCUUUGAACGCAAAUUGCGGUCUCGGGACGUCUUCCCCGGGACCACUCCUGGUCGAGUAUCGGUUUUUUCCAACCUCCACAGCGCGUGUGGUGAUGUUUUGACGACAUUGCUUAACCAGCACGCAAGUGGGAAAUUGAGGUGUGAUAGUUCUCAUUUGUUUGUCCUCCCUUUCUUCUUUGCCGCGAGCAAAGGGAUGGGGGGGGUUUUGCAAGUAGCCCCUAUCUCCCUUUAAAUACAGAAGAGCCUUUUUGACUAGUCGCCAGAAAGAACUUUUUUUUUUGUUUUGAUUUAUUGUCCUUUGUGCGUCAAAGGAGAAGCAAAAAAAAAGAAAAUUGUUUUUUCUCAAAAAGCAAGCUAACUUCAUGUAAAAGCCUGCGCAUAGCGAUAAACCAAUGAUAUUCUACCUUCGCGGUGGUUUCUAUGGUUCCAUUCGCUGCGGGCAAGUAACAAGAGGACUGCAGGCUGGUGACCACGAGUUUGAAAGGGUGCAGAAAUUUAAUCCUUGGCGGGCGCUGAAGGUUUGCGUAACCUGCAGGUCUGUCUCGAACACAAGAUCUCGACUCAGGUGAGAAAACCCCCUGAAUUUAAGCAUAUUAUUAAGGGGAGGAAAAGAAACUAACAAGGAUUCCCCUAGUAACGGCGAGUGAAGCGGGAAGAGCUCAAUUGGAAACCGGCUGCCUUCGGGUAGUCGGGUUGUAAUCUCGAGACUGGUCAUCAGCGAGGACCCGGGUAUAAAUCCUUUGAAACAGGGUAUCAUAGAGGGUGAGAAUCCCGUUUAUGAUCCGGAGCUCCUUGCGUACGAUGCCUUUUCUAAGAGUCGGGUUGCUUGGGAGUGCAGCUCUAAAUGGGUGGUAAGUUUCAUCUAAAGCUAAAUACUGCGGGGAGACCGAUAGCGAACAAGUACCGUGAGGGAAAGAUGAAAAGAACUUUGAAAAGAGAGUUAAAAAGUACUUGAAAUUGUUAGGAGGUAAGCGUGGGCAACCAAUCAUGUUCUAACGCAUCUUAGGUGUGCCUGCUGAGGACGCUGUUCUUCGUGUUCGUAAAUGUCACGUUGAGCUCCUUCCGAUGUGGGGAAGCUGAUAAUGCGUGGGGCGAGUCAACAUCUGUUCGAGUCGGGAGAGAAACUUGUCGUGGGGGUACCUUCCUCCGGGUUGGGAGCCGUGACUUGUCUAUCUUGGCUUGGACAGAGGCAUAAAUGUGCGCCUUCGUGGCUGGGUCCUGCUGGCCUGCUGGGUGUAGAGGUGUGGACAACAUUGUUGUGCUGCCUUGAAGCUUGGUACUGCUUGCAGAGAACCACAUGUACAUUCGUGAUGUUGACGAAAUGGUUUUCCAUGACCCGUCUUGAAACACGGACCAAGGAGUCUAACGUAUGCGCGAGUAUUUUGGUGAAAAACCAUGAUGCGAAAUGAAAGUAAAUGUAGGCUCGUCCUGCAGAGGUAGGAAACCGUAAGGUGGCACUAUCGACCGUUUCUUUUGCUUGCGAAAGGUAUGAGUAUGAGCGUAUCCGUUGGGACCCGAAAGAUGGUGAUCUAUGCUUGAACAGGGUGAAGCCAGGGGAAACUCUGGUGGAGGCUCGUAGCGAUACUGACGUGCAAAUCGUUCGUCUGAUUUGAGUAUAGGGGCGAAAGACUAAUCGAACCAUCUAGUAGCUGGUUCCCUC
rnacentral:misc_RNA from 1 species